rnacentral:rRNA from 1 species
GGCGAACGGGUGAGGAACACGUGAGAAAUCUGCCUUCAACUCUGGGAUAACUCCGGGAAACCGGGGCUAAUACCGGAUAUGAGCCUCUUUCGCAUGAAGGGGGCUGGAAAGUUUUUCGGUUGAAGAUGAUCUCGCGGCCUAUCAUCUUGUUGGUGAGUAGUGGCUCACCAAGGCGACGACGGGUAGCCGGCCUGAGAGGGCGACCGGCCACACUGGGACUGAGACACGGCCCAGACUCCUACGGGAGGCAGCAGUGGGGAAUAUUGCGCAAUGGACGAAAGUCUGACGCAGCGACGCCGCGUGAGGGAUGAAGGCCUUCGGGUUGUAAACCUCUUUCAGUAGGGAAGAAGCGAAAGUGACGGUACCUACAGAAGAAGCACCGGCUAACUAUGUGCCAGCAGCCGCGGUAAUACAUAGGGUGCAAGCGUUGUCCGGAAUUAUUGGGCGUAAAGAGCUCGUAGGUGGUUCGAUACGUCGGAUGUGAAAAUCAGGGGCUCAACCCCUGACCUGCAUUCGAUACGGUCGAGCUAGAGUGUGGUAGGGGAGACUGGAAUUCCUGGUGUAGCGGUGGAAUGCGCAGAUAUCAGGAGGAACACCGAUGGCGAAGGCAGGUCUCUGGGCCAUUACUGACACUGAGGAGCGAAAGCGUGGGGAGCGAACAGGAUUAGAUACCCUGGUAGUCCACGCCGUAAACGGUGGGCGCUAGUUGUGGGAACCUUCCACGGUUUCUGCGACGCAGCUAACGCAUUAAGCGCCCCGCCUGGGGAGUACGAUCGCAAGAUUAAAAAUCUAAUGAA